rnacentral:lncRNA from 1 species
GCAUUCUUCACGAGAAUUCUUCUAGCAUUAAGAGCAUUGGUGAUUACUACACCUAUCAAACACUACAAGCUUCAAGCCAACAAGCACUAUAACCCAAGCCAUGACCCUCGAAGAUGAAGAGCAGAUCUAUUUAUAGCCACGCAGUCGGCUACCCUCCAAGAUGCUACAGUAAGCGCAUGUGGAUGCACAGCAGAGCCCCCUCAUACCACCAUGUCUCUACAGUA